CAGUAAAUAGUUUAAUUAAAAUAUUAAUUUUGGAGAUUAAUGAUAAGUUUCAUUACUUUUUACUGA
rnacentral:tRNA from 1 species